rnacentral:rRNA from 1 species
GUCUAUGGCCAUGCCACCCUGAACACGCCCGAUCCCAUCUGAUCUCGGAAGCUAAGCAGGGUCAAGCCUAGUUAGUACUUGGAUGGGAGACCACCUAGGUAACCAGGUGCUGUAGGUG